rnacentral:rRNA from 1 species
UACAGAGGGUGCAAGCGUUGCUCGGAAUGAUUGGGCGUAAAGAGGAAGUAGGUGGUCUGAUUUGUCUGAGGUGAAAGCCUUGAGCCUAACUCAAGAAGUGCCUCAGAAACGGUCAGACUGGAGUCCUAAAGAGGGUCGUGGAAUUCCCGGUGUAGCGGUGAAAUGCGUAGAGAUCGGGAGGAACACCUGAGGCGAAGGCGGCGACCUGGUUAGGUACUGACACUCAAUUCCGAAAGCGUGGGGAGCAAACAGG